rnacentral:rRNA from 1 species
AGCGAACGCUGGCGGCAGGCUUAACACAUGCAAGUUGAGCGGGCACUUUCGGGUGUCAGCGGCGGACGGGUGAGUAACGCGUGGGAACGUGCCCUCUGGUUCGGAAUAACUCAGGGAAACUUGAGCUAAUACCGGAUACGCCCUUUUGGGGAAAGGCUUGCUGCCGGAGGAUCGGCCCGCGUCUGAUUAGCUAGUUGGUGAGGUAACGGCUCACCAAGGCGACGAUCAGUAGCUGGUCUGAGAGGAUGAUCAGCCACACUGGGACUGAGACACGGCCCAGACUCCUACGGGAGGCAGCAGUGGGGAAUAUUGGACAAUGGGCGCAAGCCUGAUCCAGCCAUGCCGCGUGAGUGAUGAAGGCCUUAGGGUUGUAAAGCUCUUUUAUCCGGGACGAUAAUGACGGUACCGGAGGAAUAAGCCCCGGCUAACUUCGUG